rnacentral:rRNA from 1 species
UACGGGAGGCAGCAGUGGGGAAUAUUGCACAAUGGGCGCAAGCCUGAUGCAGCCAUGCCGCGUGUAUGAAGAAGGCCUUCGGGUUGUAAAGUACUUUCAGUCGUGAGGAAGGUGUUAAGGUUAAUAACCUUAGCAAUUGACGUUAGCGACAGAAGAAGCACCGGCUAACUCCGUGCCAGCAGCCGCGGUAAUACGGAGGGUGCGAGCGUUAAUCGGAAUUACUGGGCGUAAAGGGCACGCAGGCGGUUAAUUAAGUUGGAUGUGAAAUCCCCGGGCUUAACCUGGGAAUGGCAUUCAAGCUGGUUAGCUAGAGUCUUGUAGAGGGGGUAGAAUUCCAUGUGUAGCGGUGAAAUGCGUAGAGAUGUGGAGGAAUACCGGUGGCGAAGGCGGCCCCUGGACAAAGGCUGACGCUCAUGUGCGAAAGCGUGGGGAGCGAAAC